rnacentral:rRNA from 1 species
UACGUAGGGGGCAAGCGUUGUCCGGAAUCAUUGGGCGUAAAGCGCGUGUAGGCGGUCCGGUAAGUCGGCUGUGAAAGUCCAGGGCUCAACCCUGGGAUGCCGGUCGAUACUGCCGGACUAGAGUUCGGAAGAGGCGAGUGGAAUUCCCGGUGUAGCGGUGAAAUGCGCAGAUAUCGGGAGGAACACCAAUGGCGAAGGCAGCUCGCUGGGACGUUACUGACGCUGAGGCGCGAAAGCCAGGGGAGCGAAUGGG